rnacentral:rRNA from 1 species
ACCAGCGGUGAUAGCACGUUGAAUGCACCAGUUCCCCACGGAUCACUGCAGUUAAGCAACGUUGGGAGUGGUUAGUAAAUGGAUGGGUGACUAUCAUCUGGGGAAACCGCGUGCUGCUGGGU